GUUUUCGAAUCUUUUACUUGUAUGUUUCCACUUGAAUAUGGUAAUUUGAUAAUGGAAACAAUGAAAAACAGAAUAGAUGGACUUCUUACAAAAAUAGGAUACUUUGACGAAUGGACAGACCAUACUCUCACUAUAUAUUUAAGACAAGAAGCUGUAAAAUGGGCAUGUAUUCUUGAUAUUUCUGAGUGCCGAAGAAAUGCUGCUUCGAAAUUAUUAGAAGAGUUUAAAUAUUCUGAAGACAACUCAAAUUCGAUGGAGAUGAAACGAACAUACUGUCAUAAUUUAAUACCAAUGAACCACACUAUUUGGAACGAGAUAUGGAAGAAAUGGAAUGCAACG